UACGUAGGGGGCUAGCGUUGUCCGGAAUCAUUGGGCGUAAAGCGCGUGUAGGCGGUCCGGUAAGUCCGCUGUGAAAGUCGGGGCUCAACCCUCGGAUGCCGGUGGAUACUGUCGGGCUCGAGUACGGAAGAGGCGAGUGGAAUUCCUGGUGUAGCGGUGAAUGCGCAGAUAUCAGGAGGAACACCAAUUGCGAAGGCAGCUCGCUGGGACGUUACUGACGCUGAGACGCGAAAGCGUGGGGAGCAAACAGG
rnacentral:rRNA from 1 species